CCUACGGGAGGCAGCAGUGAGGAAUAUUGGUCAAUGGGGGCAACCCUGAACCAGCCAAGUCGCGUGCGGGAAGACGGUCCUAUGGAUUGUAAACCGCUUUUAUCGGGGGGCAAACUGCGCCACGCGUGGCUUUCCGCAGGUACCGCAAGAAUAAGGACCGGCUAAUUCCGUGCCAGCAGCCGCGGUAAUACGGAGGGUCCGGGCGUUAUCCGGAUUUAUUGGGUUUAAAGGGUGCGCAGGCGGAAGAUCAAGCUUGCGGUAAAAUGGAGGGGCUCAACCUGUGCGAGCCGCCGAAACUGGUGUGCUUGAGUGAGCGAGAAGUAUGCGGAAUGCGUGGUGUAGCGGUGAAAUGCAUAGAUAUCACGAAGAACUCCGAUUGCGAAGGCAGCAUACCGGAGCUUAACUGACGCUGAUGCACGAAGGUGCGGGUAUCGAACAGGAUUAGAUACCCGUGUAGUC
rnacentral:rRNA from 1 species